GAUGAACGCUGGCGGCGUGCCUAAUACAUGCAAGUCGAGCGAACGGACGAGAAGCUUGCGUUUCUGAUGUUAGCGGCGGACGGGUGAGUAACACGUGGAUAACCUACCUAUAAGACGGGGAUAACUUCGGGAAACCGGAGCUAAUACCGGAUAAUAUUUUGAACCGCAGGGUUCAAAAGUGAAAGACGGUCUUGCUGUCACUUAUAGAUGGAUCCGCGCUGCAUUAGCUAGUUGGUAAGGUAACGGCUUACCAAGGCAACGAUGCAUAGCCGACCUGAGAGGGUGAUCGGCCACACUGGAACUGGGACACGGUCCAGGCUCCUACGGGAGGCAGCAGUAGGGAAUCGUCCGCAAUGGGCGAAAGCCUGACGGAGCAACGCCGCGUGAGUGAUGAAGGUCUUCGGAUCGUAAAACUCUGUUAUUAGGGAAGAACAUAUGUGUAAGUAACUGUGCACAUCUUGACGGUACCUAAUCAGAAAGCCACGGCUAACUACGUG
rnacentral:rRNA from 1 species